GGUCUUCAAUUUCAGCAGCCCCUACGCUAAAGUUAGAACAGUAUAGACAAGAUUAGCAUGGCCAUUGUACAAAAAUGACAUGCAAAUUCGUGAUGCAUUACAUACAUUU